rnacentral:rRNA from 1 species
AUUGAACGCUGGCGGCAUGCUUUACACAUGCAAGUCGAACGGCAGCACGGGCUUCGGCCUGGUGGCGAGUGGCGAACGGGUGAGUAAUACAUCGGAACGUACCCAGAAGUGGGGGAUAACGCAGCGAAAGUUGCGCUAAUACCGCAUACGUUCUACGGAAGAAAGUGGGGGAUCUUCGGACCUCAUGCUUUUGGAGCGGCCGAUGUCUGAUUAGCUAGUUGGUGGGGUAAAGGCUCACCAAGGCGACGAUCAGUAGCUGGUCUGAGAGGACGACCAGCCACACUGGAAGUGAGACACGGUCCAGACUCCUACGGGAGGCAGCAGUGGGGAAUUUUGGACAAUGGGCGAAGGCCUGAUCCAGCAAUGCCGCGUGAGUGAAGAAGGCCUUCGGGUUGUAAAGCUCUUUUGUCAGGGAAGAAACGGCUCCGGCUAAUAUCUGGGGCUAAUGACGGUACCUGAAGAAUAAGCACCGGCUAACUACGUGCCAGCAGCCGCCGUAACAC